AGAAAAAAGUGAAGCGAAAAAGAUGAUUCGAAGUUUGAAGUACGAUUAAAAUUUUUCUUUUUCCGGAUCCGAGUUUGAUCUUCUUUAGAAACAAAAAUUAUAUUUGUUUAGAAAGUCUGUCAGUUGGGUUUUGGCCCAAUUGAUUUACCUGGUAGUCAGAAAUGUAAGUGACCUGACUACCCUUGACAUUAGUCAGAAAACAUUCUAAACUCGAGAUAAACACUGUGGUAGUUCUUUAGAAAGAAGUCGACUCUAAAGUACUUUGGCGUAAAACAAAAA
rnacentral:sRNA from 1 species